UACGUAGGGGGCAAGCGUUACCCGGAUUUACUGGGCGUAAAGCGCGUGUAGGCGGCUGGCCAAGUGUGGUGUGAAAUCCCCCGGCUCAACCGGGGAACUGCAUUGCAAACUGGUCUGGCUAGAGUGCAGGAGAGGGAAGUGGAAUUCCCAGUGUAGCGGUGAAAUGCGUAGAUAUCGGGAGGAACACCAGUGGCGAAGGCGGCUUCCUGGCCUGCAACUGACGCUGAGACGCGAAAGCGUGGGGAGCGAACCGG
rnacentral:rRNA from 1 species